rnacentral:rRNA from 1 species
UACCAGCACCCCGAGUGGUCGGGACGUUUAUUGGGCCUAAAGCAAUCCGUAGCCGGCCUUUACAAGUCCCCGUUUAAAUCCAAACUAGCUUUAACAGAUGGGCUGCGGAGGAUAACUAUAAGACUAGGAGGCAGGAGAGGCAAAGCGGUACUCAGUGGGAUAGGGGGUAAAAAUCCAAUUUUGAUCCGAAUUGAAGACCACCAGUGGCGAAAGGG